CUCGAGCGGCAGAUGGUGUGAUUUAGUGGAAAGGCCAUAGGACCGGGAGCUGGCAGCGGAGAUGGCGCCUAGCUUCUCUUUGCCAACAUGAGACCUAGAUAAGGAGAGUGUUUUUUGGACAUCUCUUGAUGGAGGACAUAAGUUCAAAUUAUUUUUCCAUUAACGAAGAUUGGGUAUAGUGCCCAAAGCAUUCAUAUCCAGCUGGCUAAACCCUCUUCCAUCUCUCAACAUUGGCUUUUGAAACAGAAGACCCCCAGACAAUAACAGAGCACAAAGAAGGCAAAACCCAGCAGGAAAGGUGUGUGUGUGUAAUCAAGGCCAAUGUCAGAGACAACUAGGAAUAUGACCUAUAAAGAGGUAUUUGUAUGCAGUCCAAACGUCGCUCCUUUACUGAUCCCAUUCUAGGGCCAGAAUAUUCUACUAUUAACUGAAAACCCUCCCAUCAAAAAGUAUCUUUGGAAGAAUAUCACAUUAUCAUACACAUCCCAGUGUGAACACUUUCAUACUACCCUCUCCAAUAUCACAGCUACCUAAGAGCAAGCUUCAGCCUGCACACGGGGUAAUUUGAAAUGUAAAAGGUCACAAGAUGGUUUAGAUCAGAAAACAAGCAAGAAGACAAGGCUGAGCUGAGAUCCUGAAAGCAUUCCUGGGCAGCCAGUGCUAUGGUGGAGUACAGGGACUCCAGGUGCAUAGAGCCCCAGGGGAAGAGAGGUGUAGCAACCCAGGAAGUUCCAGUCAAAGAGAUGCAGGAAUUAUCUCCUGGGAUGUUCCUCCCCUUUGGAUUUCCAAUGUCUACUCAUGGCACUGCCAACUGGUUCUCAUCUCCGAAGAGCCAUGCCUGCCUCCCUGUGAAGAUGGCGGCUGUCAUUGUGCGUGCCUACCAGGGAUGCAUGCACAAAGGAAUCCCUGCCACAAUUUUGCUCCUGAAAAUCUGAUCAAACCAAAUCUGAAGAGGCUGCUGGCAACAACACUGUUCUACGUGUUGCUAAGAGACUUCCAGAAAAACAUAUAAGGUACUCUAGGGGGACACGAUACAUGCUGCAAAAAGGACCAGGCUUCCCUAUAGGAAACUUUCUGAGAGGGUAGGAGCCGGGGCCUGCUCCACACAGCUCCUAAGCAUCCUGAUCUCAUCCUGCAAAAGUCCGGCUAAGAACUCCUCUCUUAAAAGCAUCUAGCACGCAGACUGAUACCAUUAUGGUUAUCAAAUACAUUAUGAUUCCAAUUUUGUUGCAAGAAUGCAGCUGGGAUGGGGACUGGAGGAGGAAAAAAAGAAUACAAUUCAUCUGGAAAAACAACUGAGGGUUGAGCAUGGACCAGUGCUGAUAUCAUACCAGUCUAAAGCAACACCACUAUAGACUUUCCUGUUUCCAAAAUAUAUGUUAAAAUCCAAAUGAAAACUCCUCAUUGUGAUAUCAACACCUCCCUGAACAAUGUAGCUCUCACUCCUCUUAUAAAAUCUCGAUGCCGGCCAACAGCUGGCAAGUUG